rnacentral:rRNA from 1 species
GAUGAACGCUAGCUACAGGCUUAACACAUGCAAGUCGAGGGGCGAGCAUGGUCUUAGCUUGCUAAGGCCGAUGGCGACCGGCGCACGGGUGAGUAACACGUAUCCAACCUGCCGUCUACUCUUGGACAGCCUUCUGAAAGGAAGAUUAAUACAAGAUGGCAUCAUGAGUUCACAUGUUCACAUGAUUAAAGGUAUUCCGGUAGACGAUGGGGAUGCGUUCCAUUAGAUAGUAGGCGGGGUAACGGCCCACCUAGUCUUCGAUGGAUAGGGGUUCUGAGAGGAAGGUCCCCCACAUUGGAACUGAGACACGGUCCAAACUCCUACGGGAGGCAGCAGUGAGGAAUAUUGGUCAAUGGGCGCAGGCCUGAACCAGCCAAGUAGCGUGACGGAUGAAGGUCCUAUGGAUUGUAAACUUCUUUUAUACGGGAAUAAAGUGCAGUAUGCAUACUGUUUUGUAUGUAACCGUAUGAAUAAGGAUCGGCUAACUCCGUGCC